UUUAAAAGCGUAAGCUUUACUCAGCAAACUGUUAUCUAGUUUUGAGAGAGCAAUCUCUUGUCUGGUGGCGAUAGCGAAGAGGUCACACCCGUUCCCAUACCGAACACGGAAGUUAAGCUCUUUAGCGCCAAUGGUAGUUGGGACUUUGUCCCUGUGAGAGUAGGACGUUGCCAGGC
rnacentral:rRNA from 1 species